UAUCUACAACUACAUCGAAGGCACUAAACUUCUUGGCGCCUAUCUCCACGAAGUGGGAAAAUUAUAAAAAAGAAAUUUAACAUCCCAUCCUAAUACGAUGAAACAUCACAACCGUGCUCUAAUUGAAAUAAAUAUUGUCCUUAACCUUACAAUUAAAAAACUCGCCAUAGAAAUUGCACUUUUCAGGUCACCGUAAACCAAAGUGGAAAUGUUUUAAACAAAUUGAAAUAUUUAAAAUGUCUCCUAAGAUAUGAGUCAAUCAUGCCUGUUCCAGUUUUCACUCGGAAGUGAAUUCGUUAACAUUGGCGGAUUUUACUUUGACAUAAUCAAAGUUCCCUUGCUUGCUAGCAAAUUUCCUGGGGAAAUUACUAUUUGGAGUAAAUAAAACAGCCGAAUGCCGCUAGUGCUCUUAACAAAAGCCUAUGAUUUGAUCAACAUUUGUCACGAUGCUUUUCCUAAUCUUUGUGCAUUAUUGGUGCUCACAUUUAAUGUCUUCAUUGGUAGCCAAAAAUAACAAAAUCUACUUAUUUUAAAAGCAGUGAUAAAAACUGAACAACAAAAGUGUUGAACAACUCGUGUUAAAAUCAGCUUUGUUGCCAAAAAUAAUUCAAAGAUUGUUGGUUUAAUUUUAACAAUGUCUUUUAAAACAUUUGGAAAAACUCUUGGAUAUUAAACGCAAUAACCGAAAUUUAAGAUGCAAUGCUAACAUUUUUUAUUUGCCUAAUCGCCUAUAACUGAAAGUUUUGGAGAUUUUUGCAAUCUUACCGGAUUGACAAAGAUUUUUUUUUCUUUUCCUAACUGAGAUAAUUGGACCCGACCUAGGGCAUCCCUGGAUUGCCCAUGUUACCCAGCUUGCGGCAGUCCUUCGAGUUCUGGCCACCGGCCAAAACAUUUUUAUACCCUUGCAGAGGGCAUUAUAAUUUCAGUCAGAAGUUUGCAACGCAGUGAAG